AGAUUGAACGCUGGCGGCAUGCCUUACACAUGCAAGUCGAACGGCAGCACGGGGGCAACCCUGGUGGCGAGUGGCGAACGGGUGAGUAACAUAUCGGAACGUGCCCUGGAGUGGGGGAUAACGUAGUCGAAAGAUUAGCUAAUACCGCAUACGAUCUACGGAUAGAAAGUGGGGGGAUCGGCAAGACCUCAUGCUCGUGGAGCGGCCGAUAUCUGAUUUAGCUAGUUGGUGGGUAAAGCCUAACCAAGGCAUCGAUCGAGUUAGCGUAGGUCUGAGAGGACGACCAGCCAACACUGGGACUGAGACCGACCGGCCCAAGUACCUCCGUAACGGGAGGCAG
rnacentral:rRNA from 1 species